GACACGGUGCCUCGCUGACUCUCACGGAGCAAAAUAUUCCAUCGCCCGGGGCUGAGACUUGUAAAACUGCCCUCCUCGGUCACCCCGGAAAGUAGGAGGCUUUUUCUGCAGACUCUGUUAAAAAAAAAAAAAAGAAAGAAAGAAAAAAAAAAAAAGGGCCCUUCCAUUCCCCCAGGACUGAUGGUCUGAAUUGCUUUUCAUCUGGAGUGGCAGUGAUUCAGCGACCCCCUUCUCAGCAGCAGGCAAUGACAGAGACAGGAGACGAAAAACACAGCGAAUGAAUCAGACGAGAGACCCUUCCCUUCCUGCUGCUGCUCAUCACCCUGGGUGGGGAUCCCAGUCUUCCUGACCUGCGUGGGAGAGUAUGUGGAGACUGCAGUUGUCCACUAUUUCUGUUUUUCCCCUCUUCCUUCCGGGCCUCAUGGAGAGACUGCCAUGAUUUUCCAGUCUGCCAUGGAGCCAGGUGUGGCCGUGGAGCUGGAUGCUCGCCAAUGGAAUGUGAGUACAAGCGGUUUGAAGAACUUUUGCCUUAUCUGCUUAAGUGGAUCUCCCUGGCCGGAGACUCUCUCUCUUUCCCCUACUUGACCAGCUAGACCUGAACAGCCCUGCACACCAGCUGCGGAGGGCAGAACUGUUGCCAGCCUGGGUCUCCAGUGACUGAUGCAGAGCUACCACCAAGCUGGGGCACGUAUCUUGCCCCGUUAACUGGGAGACAAAUAAACUUCAUUGUUCUUCGA